CGUUUUCCGUCCAAUCGUGCGACCGCCACUAGACACAAAGAAGAAGCGGGAGCACACGGAGAAAGACGAAGAAGAAGACGGCGGCGGUUAGCAGUUAGCAUUUAGCUCCGCGGGUUACGUCGAGGACAGUCUCUGUCCAAUGAGAAGAGAGACGUCCUCAACCCGCUGAUAACAGGCGUCUUCUUAGAGGCGUCCCACAGCGCCUCCUACAUCCAGGAUGCGUUCCAGCUCCUCAUGCCCAUCCUGGAGAUUUCUCACAUCCAGAGGACGGCUGACUCCGCGGAGCAGUGACCUCACGAUGUCUCCUCCGCCCUCCAACGCCGCCCCGGCUCCAGGACUCUGUCACAGCCGAUAACUGACACAUCUGGAAAACUUUUAAAAAGUCGCCGUGUCAGUGUUUACUCUGUUUUCCAGCUCAGGACAAAAUCAAUUUCACGCCUGGGAGGAAAAAGUGUGUUCUUGUCAAACAGUGUUAUAGUUUUUGUGCUUUGCAGGUUUAUUUGUGAAGCACGUUACAAGGACUCGUUGCAACACUCGUUGUUGUGGAAGGGAAACAAAAU